rnacentral:rRNA from 1 species
UACGUAGGGUGCAAGCGUUGUCCGGAAUUAUUGGGCGUAAAGAGCUCGUAGGCGGUUUGUCGCGUCUGCUGUGAAAACUCGGGGCUUAACUCCGGGCCUGCAGUGGGUACGGGCAGACUAGAGUGCGGUAGGGGAGACUGGAAUUCCUGGUGUAGCGGUGAAAUGCGCAGAUAUCAGGAGGAACACCGGUGGCGAAGGCGGGUCUCUGGGCCGAUACUGACGCUGAGGAGCGAAAGCGUGGGGAGCGAACAGG